AGAGAGAGACAUGCGCGCAUAUCAAUAAGCGGAGGAAAAGAAACUAACUAAGGAUUCCCUCAGUAACGGCGAGUGAAGCGGGAAGAGCUCAAAUUUGAAAUCUUCAAGGUUUCUACCUUGACGAAUUGUAGUUUAAAGAAGUGUUUUCUGUUGAAGUUUUGGUAAGAGUUCUUUGGAAUAGGACAUCAUAGAGGGUGAGAAUCCCGUAUUUGACCAUUAUUUUCAGCUUUGUGAUACACUUUCAAAGAGUCGGAUUGUUUGGGAAUGCAGUCCAAAAUGGGUGGUAAAUUUCAUCUAAAGCUAAAUAUUGGCGAGAGACCGAUAGCGAACAAGUACCGUGAGGGAAAGAUGAAAAGGAACUUUGAAAAGAGAGUUAAACAGUACGUGAAAUUGUCAAAAGGGAAGCGUUUGACACCAGUGUUGUUUUCUCGAAAAUCAAUUAAAAAUGGCUCGAUUUUGUAUUGUUGAGACCUUAAAAGCUCACUGUACAUUUUUCGUGUCUUUUUUAAUGCACUUUUCGUUUAACAAGUCAACAUCAGUUUCUUUUGUUGUAAAAGGGUCAUUGGAAGGUGGCUUUCUUUUCGGAGAAAGUGUUUAUAGCCUUUGGCCUCUGCAAUCGAAGAGACUGAGGUCUGCAGCGUAGACUCUUCGGGGUUAGAUACAUUUGUGCUAAGUUAUAGCUUUUUAUAGACAACUUGUUGACUAUAAUUAGUCUUGUAGCUUACUCGCUUAUGCUAUUUUACCUACGCUUAGGAUGUUGAAGAUGUAGCACAUCAU
rnacentral:rRNA from 1 species